rnacentral:tRNA from 1 species
UAAUUUAUAGCUUAUUAAAGUAUUUCAUUUACAUUGAAAAGAAAUUAUUAAAUUAAUUAAAUUAA